GCGUCACACACCCGGCUGUCGCGUGCACAUUGCUACACUCGCCUCUUGCAACUUGAGAGUGAAGGAAAGGGAAGCUACUUGAAAAACAAGGCCUAGUCGAAAUGUACGAAAAUCGUCUCUUUAAUUUGAAUAUUUUUAUACCAAAGUCUUCCGUAACGAUGUGCUUUGUUGUGGCAGCGCCACUAAGGCUGUCUUCAAGCAUUUAGUCAGUCCAUGUAAGGUUACUAAAUGCUAGUAUUGACCAUACUUGUGUGGAAACCUCCUUUAUCCUGUGCUGUGUUUACACUGUACUACAGCAGCAGCAGCUUUAUAGAGAGAAGCAACCCUUCAGACUAACUCACACAUUUACUGGUUCAAUCUCAUCUCUACUGGAUCAAUCUCAUCUGUCUGCAGCACGACUGACCCAUCACCCCCCCGCCAGACGCCUCUCAGGAUCUGACUGACCUAUAUCUGCUUGCUCGGUCAGUGAGUACAAGCAUUCCAUCAGUUCAGAUCUGUGGGAAAGAGUCAAUGCUCAGUCAGAUGAGAGGACAUGAGGAAAAAGUGCUUCUAAGAUCUACAUUUGGGUCAGUAAGCUUCUCAUGUGUUUCAGACUGAUUUGCUUUGCUGCGUCACUUCACCAGGGUUGAGAGGAAGUAUGGCAGUAUGCACACCCAUGCAGGAAAUAUCCUUCACCAUCCUCUUACAUUCUUCCAAUUUGGUUUGAUGCCCAGAAGGGCUUUUGAGGCAGACAUGCACUGAAAGAUACCACAGUAUCAAAUUAUUAGUACACAGUAUAACAUAUGAACCUUUUGUGAAACAUGAAGGUUCUGUGAAUGUUAAAGGUUCUUUACAGCAAAAUAUGGUUCUUCCAUUGCACUGUAAAGCAUCUUAAAGUAUGUGGAUUCCAUCUUUAUUAAAGGGGACAUUUGACAAGACUUUUUAAAAAAUGUUAAAUAAAUCUUUGGUGUCCCCAGA